UACGGAGGAUGCGAGCAUUAUCCGGAUUUAUUGGGUUUAAAGGGUGCGUAGGCGGACUGUCAAGUCAGCGGUAAAAUUGAGAGGCUCAACCUCUUCCCGCCGUUGAAACUGGUGGUCUUGAGUGGAUGAGAAGUACGCGGAAUGCGUGGUGUAGCGGUGAAAUGCAUAGAUAUCACACAGAACUCCGAUUGCGAAGGCAGCGUACCGGCAUCCAACUGACGCUGAGGCACGAAAGCGUGGGGAUCAAACAGG
rnacentral:rRNA from 1 species